rnacentral:lncRNA from 1 species
AUUUGUUUGUAUCCUCUUUUAUUUCCUUGAGCAGCGGUUUGUAGUUCUCCUUGAAGAGGUCCUUCACAUCCCUUAUAAGUUGGAUUCCUAGGUAUUUUAUUCUCUUUGAAGCAAUUGUGAAUGGGAGUUCACUCAUGAUUUGGCUCUCUGUUUGUCUGUUGUUGGUGUAUAGGAAUGCUUGUGAUUUUUGCACAUUGAUUUUGUAUCCUGAGACUUUGCUGAAGUUGCUUCUCAGCUUAAGGAGAUUUUGGGCUGAGACAAUGGGGUUUUCUGGAUAUACAGUCAUGUCAUCUGCAAACAGGGACAAUUUGACUUCCUCUUUUCCUAAUUGAAUACCCUUUAUUUCCUUCUCCUGCCUAAUUGCCCUGGCCAGAACUUCCAACACUAUGUUGAAUAGGAGUGGUGAGAGAGGGCAUCCCUGUCUUGUGCCAGUUUUCAAAGGGAAUGCUUCCAGUUUUUGCCCAUUCAGUAUGAUAUUAGCUGUGGGUUUGUCAUAGAUAGCUCUUAUUAUUUUGAAAUAUGUUCCAUCGAUACCUAAUUUAUUGAGAGUUUUUAGCAUGAAGGGUUGUUGAAUUUUGUCAAAGGCCUUUUCUGCAUCUAUUGAGAUAAUCAUGUGGUUUUUGUCUUUGGCUCUGUUUAUAUGCUGGAUUACAUUUAUUGAUUUGCGUAUAUUGAACCAGCCUUGCAUCCCAGGGAUGAAGCCCACUUGAUCAUGGUGGAUAAGGUUUUUGAUGUGCUGCUGGAUUUGGUUUGCCAGUAUUUUACUGAGGAUUUUUGCAUCAAUGUUCAUCAAGGAUAUUGGUCUAAAAUUCUCUUUUUUACGGCUACCUGAUCUUUGACAAACCUGAGAAAAACAAGCAAUGGGGAAAGGAUUCCCUAUUUAAUAAAUAGUGCUGGGAAAACUGGCUAGCCAUAUGUAGAAAGCUGAAACUGGAUCCCUUCCUUACACCUUAUACAAAAAUCAAUUCAAGAUGGAUUAGACUUAAACGUUAGACCUAAAACCAUAAAAACCCUAGAAGAAAACCUAGGCAUUACCAUUCAGGACAUAGGCAUGGGCAAGGACUUCAUGUCUAAAACACCAAAAGCAAUGGCAACAGAAGACAAAAUUGACAAAUGGGAUCUAAUUAAACUAAAGAGCUUCUGCACAGCAAAAGAAACUACCAUCAGAGUGAACAGGCAACCUACAGAAUGGGAGAAAAUUUUCGCAACCUACUCAUCUGACAAAGGGCUAAUAUCCAGAAUCUACAAUGAACUCAAACAAAUU